UGCUAACUGAAAAGGAUACUGGGUGCGU
rnacentral:piRNA from 1 species